GUGCAGUGGCGCGAUCUCGGCUCACUGCAGGCUCCGCCCCCCGGGGUUCACGCCAUUCUCCUGCCUCAGCCUCCCGUGUAGCUGGGACUACAGGCGCCUGCCACCUCGCCCGGCUAAUUUUUUGUAUUUUUAGUAGAAACGGGGUUUCACCGUGUUAGCCAGGAUGGUCUCGAUCUCCUGACCUUGUGAUCCGCCCGCCUCGGCCUCCCAAAGUGCUGGGAUUCAAACAGUGGUUUUAAAAUAAACAACCAAAGUUAUCCAAUGAAAAGUAGCAGAGGAAGGAUGCUACAGGAGCUCAGAAAAGGCAACGAAGGCCAGAGUCUGCAGGGAUUUCCUGGAGGACGUGGAGCUUGUCCCUGCGUCUUUAACAAUAGGCAGAAUUUUAAUCCACUGGAGAAGCAUUUCAAGUAGCGGGAAAUGGAAUGAGCAGAGACAGAGGCAGAAAUACAGAGUUGAAAGAACUCUUUCAACGUGUCGCGAGUGAGUGACGACUUUCUGAGUGUGGGAGUAAAAGAAUUUACCAAGACAGUGGUAGGUAAAGAAAGACAGAUUAAAGAAAAUAUGAAAGUUCGUUGCCAGGGAGCAGCCGGCCGAAUCAGCAGAGGAGCUCAUUGCUAGGAAACAAAGGCUUGUUGAGAAUUUUAUAGACUGGAACGUGGAGUGAUUGAUAACACCAAAGCAGCAGGGAGUUAACUUGCUUUUUUUUUUUUUUCGCUUUUUUUUUUUCCAGCUGAAGUGUUUGAGAAAUUGAGGCUUUGAAGUGUGCACAAAAGGACAGAAAAUAUAAAGUCACGCCUGGCAGAGAGCUUCUACUCUGAAGAAACAACAACCGACGUGUCAUAGGAUGAAUCUACACUAUUUGGAGAGAGAGUAUACAUUUAACUUGCAGCAAUCCCUGGAAGAAAAAUUCUACUAGCAGAGAUGCUCUGAGCAGAGAGAAAGCCUGUCUAUAUAGUGAGAGAAUGAAACCAAUACAUUGAAAAAAACUGAGAAGAGAAAGAGGUAAAGACUUCACCUGAUACAAGCACGCCUGAAACAAGAGACACCUGUAUGAUUCCAUCUUCCCAGGAGCUAGCAGGCAGUUCUUGCUGAAUUCAAGCCAGUUGAGACCAUCAACCCUUCAACUGAGCCUGCAUGGGUGCAUAAAGCAUGACCUUUUGAUGUCAAAGGGCCAAAACCUGCACCCUCCUUUCAUGCUAAUUCAACUAUUUUCUGAAUAUGCAUCCUAUGAAGAGCCGUGUAGCUCAAUUAUGCUUGUGCAGAAACCCUGAUUACCUCACCUUUCCCACCUGCCAAUCACCUUUACCCAUACUUCACACCAUCCUGCUUUCUAUCCCCAUAAUUACCCCUAAGCUUUGUUUUCAGGGAGGUGGAUUUGCAAUUUUUUCUCCUUCUCCUUGCUCAGCAGCCUGGUGAGCAAUCUCACAAAAUAAAAUAUUUUCUCUUUUGCAAAA